rnacentral:rRNA from 1 species
AGAGGUGGCAAGCGUUGUUCGGAAUUACUGGGCGUAAAGGGCGCGUAGGCGGCCUCGCAAGUCCCGUGUGAAAUCCCUCGGCUCAACUGAGGAAUGGCACGGGAAACUGCGGGGCUUGAGUUCGGGAGAGGGAAGCGGAAUUCCGGGUGUAGCGGUGAAAUGCGUAGAUAUCCGGAGGAACACCGGUGGCGAAGGCGGCUUCCUGGACCGAUACUGACGCUGAGGCGCGAAAGCUAGGGGAGCAAACGGGAUUAGAUACCCCGGUAGUCCUAGCUGUAAACGAUGAGCGCUGGGUGUAGGGGGUCUUAACCCCCCCUGUGCCGAAGCUAACGCAUUAAGCGCUCCGCCUGGGGAGUACGGUCGCAAGGCUG